UGGGGAAUUUUGCGCAAUGGGCGAAAGCCUGACGCAGCAACGCCGCGUGUGUGAUGAAGGUCUUCGGAUUGUAAAGCACUUUCGACCGGGACGAAAACCCUGAGGCUAACAUCCUCAGGCUUGACGGUACCGGGAGAAGAAGCACCGGCUAACUCUGUGCCAGCAGCCGCGGUAAUACAGAGGGUGCAAGCGUUGUUCGGAAUUAUUGGGCGUAAAGCGCGUGUAGGCGGCUUUGCAAGUCGGGUGUGAAAGCCCUCAGCUCAACUGAGGAAGUGCGCCCGAAACUGCAGAGCUUGAGUGCCGGAGAGGGUGGCGGAAUUCCCCAAGUAGAGGUGAAAUUCGUAGAUAUGGGGAGGAACACCGGUGGCGAAGGCGGCCACCUGGACGGUAACUGACGCUGAGACGCGAAAGCGUGGGUAGCAAACAGGAUUAGAUACCCUGGUAGUCCACGCCGUAAACGAUGAGAACUAGGUGUCGUGGGAGUUGACCCCCGCGGUGCCGAAGCUAAC
rnacentral:rRNA from 1 species